rnacentral:rRNA from 1 species
CUAAUACAUGCAAGUCGAACGCUUUGUGGUUCAACUGAUUUGAAGAGCUUGCUCAGAUAUGACGAUGGACAUUGCAAAGAGUGGCGAACGGGUGAGUAACACGUGGGAAACCUACCUCUUAGCAGGGGAUAACAUUUGGAAACAGAUGCUAAUACCGUAUAACAAUGACAACCGCAUGGUUGUUAUUUAAAAGAUGGUUCUGCUAUCACUAAGAGAUGGUCCCGCGGUGCAUUAGCUAGUUGGUAAGGUAAUGGCUUACCAAGGCGAUGAUGCAUAGCCGAGUUGAGAGACUGAUCGGCCACAAUGGGACUGAGACACGGCCCAUACUCCUACGGGAGGCAGCAGUAGGGAAUCUUCCACAAUGGGCGAAAGCCUGAUGGAGCAACGCCGCGUGUGUGAUGAAGGGUUUCGGCUCGUAAAACACUGUUGUAAGAGAAGAAUGACAUUGAGAGUAACUGUUCAAUGUGUGACGGUAUCUUACCAGAAAGGAACGGCUAAAUACGUGCCAGCAGCCGCGGUAAUACGUAUGUUCCAAGCGUUAUCCGGAUUUAUUGGGCGUAAAGCGAGCGCAGACGGUUAUUUAAGUCUGAAGUGAAAGCCCUCAGCUCAACUGAGGAAUUGCUUUGGAAACUGGAUGACUUGAGUGCAGUAGAGGAAAGUGGAACUCCAUGUGUAGCGGUGAAAUGCGUAGAUAUAUGGAAGAACACCAGUGGCGAAGGCGGCUUUCUGGACUGUAACUGACGUUGAGGCUCGAAAGUGUGGGUAGCAAACAGGAUUAGAUACCCUGGUAGUCCACACCGUAAACGAUGAGUGCUAGGUGUUUGAGGGUUUCCGCCCUUAAGUGCCGCAGCUAACGCAUAAGCACUCCGCC